CAUGGAUGUCACACCCCUCUAACUUCCUCCCUUGCUGUCAUUUCCUUCCCCGCCCCUGUCAUGGCUGCCUCCAUCAUGAGGCCUACCCCUAUUAUGCUCGUCCUAUUUAGAGACAUGUUGUUUUCCUUACACUCUACAUAUUAUGAACAGGAACAUUAUAAUUACUAAAACAAUCAUGCCAUUUGUUUCCCUGUAUCAGAAAUGUGUCUGUGAUAAUAAUAUAAAAAAAAAAAAAAGGUUGCUAAAAUGUCAUUUGCAACUGUGGUGUGACCUACAAAUGAGAUCUGUUGGACACGAAUAUAAGAGCAUAACAGCUGAUUAUCCAGAUUAAUCUUGC